GACAAACGCUGGCGGCGUGCUUAACACAUGCAAGUCAAGGAGAACGGGAAUCUUCGGAAUCCCCAGUAAACUGGCGAAAGGGUGAGUAACGCGUAGGUAACCUACCCUCGAGUGAGGAAUAACCCGCCGAAAGGCGGGCUAAUACUGCAUGAUGUUUCGGGAUCGCAUGGUCCUGAAAUUAAAGAUUUAUCGCUUGAGGAUGGGCCUGCGUCCUAUUAGUUUGUUGGUGAGGUAAAAGCUCACCAAGACUACGAUGGGUAGCUGGUCUGAGAGGAUGGUCAGCCACACUGGCACUGAGACACGGGCCAGACUCCUACGGGAGGCAGCAGUGAGGAAUAUUGGGCAAUGGGCGAAAGCCUGACCCAGCAACGCCGCGUGGGCGAUGAAGCUCUGUGGAGUGUAAAGCCCUGUUAGGAGGGAAGGAAUUCCGCCUUAGGCGGAUUGACGGUACCUCCAGAGAAAGCUCCGGCUAACUCCGUGCCAGCAGCCGCGGUAACACGGGGGGAGCAAGCGUUGUCCGGAUUUACUGGGCGUAAAGAGCGUGUAGGCGGGAUAGUAAGUCAGCGGUGAAAUCUCUCGGCUCAACCGAGAACCUGCCUCUGAUACUGUUAUCCUUGAGUACGGAAGAGGGAAGUGGAAUUCCUGGUGUAGCGGUGAAAUGCGUAGAUAUCAGGAAGAACACCAGUAGCGAAGGCGGCUUCCUGGUCCGUAACUGACGCUGAGACGCGAAAGCGUGGGGAGCAAACAGGAUUAGAUACCCUGGUAGUCCACGCCGUAAACGAUGGGCACUAGGUGUUGGAGGUUUCGACCCCUUCAGUGCCGCAGCUAACGCAUUAAGUGCCCCGCCUGGGGAGUACGGUCGCAAGACUGAAACUCAAAGGAAUUGACGG
rnacentral:rRNA from 1 species